rnacentral:rRNA from 1 species
UUAAGUUAACAAGGGCGCAUGGUGAAUGCCUUGGCACUAGGAGCCGAUGAAGGACGGGACUAACACCGAUAUGCUUCGGGGAGCUGUACGUAAGCUAUGAUCCGGAGAUUUCCGAAUGGGGCAACCCAGCAGUUUUAAUCAACUGUUACCACUAGAUGAAUUCAUAGUCUAGUUGGAGGUAAACGCUGUGAACUGAAACAUCUCAUUAGCAGCAGGAAUAUAAAGAAAUUUCGAUUCCCUAAGUAGCGGCGAGCGAACGGGGAACAGCCCAAACCAAAGUGCUUGCACUUUGGGGUUGUAGGACUGAACAUUUGAGUUACCAAAGAACUUGAUAGUCGAAGGAUUUGGGAAAAUCCGCCAUAGAUGGUGAUAGCCCAGUAGAUUAAAUCAAAUUCUCUCAGUUCAGGAUCCUGAGUACGGCGGAACACGUGAAAUUCCGUCGGAAUCCGGGAGGACCAUCUCCCAAGGCUAAAUACUACCUAGUGACCGAUAGUGAACCAGUACCGUGAGGGAAAGGUGAAAAGCACCCCGGGAGGGGAGUGAAAUAGUUCCUGAAACCAUGUGCCUACAAUAAGUCAGAGCGCGUUAAUGCGUGAUGGCGUGCCUUUUGUAGAAUGAACCGGCGAGUUAUGAUCCCGUGCAAGGUUAAGACUAAAAAGUCGGAGCCGUAGCGAAAGCGAGUCUGAAAUAGGCGUUUUGAGUACGAGGUUAUAGACCCGAAACCAGGUGACCUAUCCAUGUCCAGGUUGAAGGUGCGGUAAAACGCACUGGAGGACCGAACCCGUGUAAGUUGAAAAUUGCUGGGAUGAGGUGUGGAUAGCGGUGAAAUUCCAAACGAACUUGGAGAUAGCUGGUUCUCUCCGAAAUAGCUUUAGGGCUAGCCUCGGAAUUAGGAUCAUGGAGGUAGAGCACUAUUUGGACUAGGGGCCCGUCUUGGGUUACUGAAUUCAGAUAAACUCCGAAUGCCAUUGAUUCAUAUCCGGGAGUCAGACGAUGAGUGAUAAGAUCCACCGUCGAAAGGGGAACAGCCCAGACCAUCAGUUAAGGUCCCUAAAUGUAUGCUAAGUGGAAAAGGAUGUGGAGUUGCAUAGACAACUAGGAUGUUGGCUCAGAAGCAGCCACCAUUUAAAGAGUGCGUAAUAGCUCACUAGUCGAGUGAUCCUGCGCCGAAAAUGUACCGGGGCUAAGCAUACUACCGAAACCAUGGAUGCGACCAUUAGGUCGCGUGAUAGGAGAGCGUUCUAAGGGCGGUGAAGCAAGAUCGUGAGGACUUGUGGAGCGCUUAGAAGUGAGAAUGCCGGUAUGAGUAGCGAAAGAUAGGUGAGAAUCCUAUCCACCGAAUGACUAAGGUUUCCUGGGGAAGGCUCGUCCUCCCAGGGUUAGUCGGGACCUAAGUCGAGGCCGAGAGGCGUAGACGAUGGAUAACAGGUUGAGAUUCCUGUACUAGUUAAGUGCGUUUGAGCAAUGGAGGGACGCAGGAGGCUAAGAUGUGCAUUCUGUUGGAUUAGAAUGUCCAAGCAGUAAGUCAUGUGAAGAGUCAAAUGCUUUUCACUUUAAGGACAAGCUGUGAUGGGGAGCGAAAUUUAGUAGCGAAGCGUCUGAUGUCACACUGCCGAGAAAAGCUUCUAGUGAGUACUUAACUACCCGUACCGCAAACCGACACAGGUAGUCGAGGAGAGAAUCCUAAGGUGAGCGAGUGAACUCUCGUUAAGGAACUCGGCAAAAUGACCCCGUAACUUCGGGAGAAGGGGUGCUGAUCGCAAGAUCAGCCGCAGUGAAUAGGCCCAGGCGACUGUUUAUCAAAAACACAGGUCUCUGCAAAAUCGUAAGAUGACGUAUAGGGGCUGACGCCUGCCCGGUGCUGGAAGGUUAAAAGGAUGGGUUAGCUUCGGCGAAGCUCAGAAUUGAAGCCCCAGUAAACGGCGGCCGUAACUAUAACGGUCCUAAGGUAGCGAAAUUCCUUGUCGGGUAAGUUCCGACCCGCACGAAAGGCGUAACGAUCUGGGCACUGUCUCAACGAGAGACUCGGUGAAAUUAUAUUGUCCGUGAAGAUGCGGACUACCCGCGACAGGACGGAAAGACCCCAUGGAGCUUUACUGUAGCUUGAUAUUGAGUGUUUGUACAGCUUGUACAGGAUAGGUAGGAGCCAUAGAAACCGGAACGCUAGUUUCGGUGGAGGCGUUGGUGGGAUACUACCCUCGCUGUAUGACCACUCUAACCCGCACCACUAAUCGUGGUGGGAGACAGUGUCAGGUGGGCAGUUUGACUGGGGCGGUCGCCUCCUAAAAAGUAACGGAGGCGCCCAAAGGUUCCCUCAGAAUGGUUGGAAAUCAUUCGCAGAGUGUAAAGGCACAAGGGAGCUUGACUGCGAGACAGACAGGUCGAGCAGGGACGAAAGUCGGGCUUAGUGAUCCGGUGGUACCGUAUGGAAGGGCCAUCGCUCAACGGAUAAAAGCUACCCUGGGGAUAACAGGCUUAUCUCCCCAAGAGUCCACAUCGACGGGGAGGUUUGGCACCUCGAUGUCGGCUCAUCGCAUCCUGGGGCUGUAGUCGGUCCCAAGGGUUGGGCUGUUCGCCCAUUAAAGCGGUACGCGAGCUGGGUUCAGAACGUCGUGAGACAGUUCGGUCCCUAUCCGUCGCGGGCGUAGGAAAUUUGAGAGGACCUGUCCUUAGUACGAGAGGACCGGGAUGGACAUACCUCUGGUGUACCAGUUGUGCCGCCAGGCGCAUCGCUGGGUAGCUACGUAUGGAUGUGAUAAACGCUGAAAGCAUCUAAGUGUGAAACACACCUCGAGAUGAGAUUUCCCAUUCCUUUAUGGAAGUAAGACCCCUGAAAGAUGAUCAGGUAGAUAGGUUAGAAGUGGCAGUGCGGUGACGCAUGAAGCGGACUAAUACUAAUCGGUCGAGGACUUAACCAA